GAUCUUUAUUUUUGUUUUUUAUUAAUUAAAUAGAAUAAAAAAGUUUAUAAUUGAAUUAAAAAUUUUAUUGGGGUGAUAUUAAAAUUUAAAGAACUUUUAAUUUUUAUUACAUAAAUAUAUGAGUUAUUGAUCCAGUUUUAUUGAUUAAAAAUUUAAGUUACCUUAGGGAUAACAGCGUAAUUUUUUUUUAGAGUUCAAAUCGACAAAAAAGAUUGC
rnacentral:rRNA from 1 species